GGGCGAGUAGCUCAGUUAGGGAGAGCAGGAGCUUUGCAAGCUCAAGGUCGAGGGUUCGAUCCCCUCCUUGUCCACCA
rnacentral:tRNA from 1 species